UUCGACUAGGGGGUCAUCCCGACUUACCAACUCGAUGCAAACUACGAAUACCGAAGAAUGUUAUCACGGGAGACACACGGCGGGUGCUAACGUUCGUCGUGAAGAGGGAAACAACCCAGACCGCCAGCUAAGGUCCCAAAGUCAUAGUUAAGUGGGAAACGAAGUGGGAAGGCUCAGACAGCCAGGAUGUUGGCUUAGAAGCAGCCAUCAUUUAAAGAAAGCGUAAUAGCUCACUGGUCGAGUCGGCCUGCGCGGAAGAUGUAACGGGGCUAAACUAUGCACCGAAGCUGCGGCAGCGAACGUAUCACUUAAACUGAUUAAGUGAUACUCAAAUGUAUCAAAACGAUUGACGGAGCGAAGCGACGUCAAUGCGUCCAACAAAGUCGAGGCGGAAACGUCAGGCAGUCAGUUUAAGGAUACGUUCGUUGGGUAGGGGAGCGUUCUGUAAGCCUGUGAAGGUGUGCUGUGAGGCAUGCUGGAGGUAUCAGAAGUGCGAAUGCUGACAUAAGUAACGAUAAUGCGGGUGAAAAACCCGCACGCCGGAAGACCAAGGGUUCCUGUCCAACGUUAAUCGGGGCAGGGUGAGUCGACCCCUAAGGCGAGGCAGAAAUGCGUAGUCGAUGGGAAACGGGUUAAUAUUCCCGUACUGGUGAUAAUUGCGAUGGGGGGACGGAGAAGGCUAGGCUAUCCGGGCGACGGUUGUCCCGGUUUAAGGAUGUAGGCAGGUGAAUUAGGCAAAUCCGGUUCACUAUAUGCUGAGGUCCGA
rnacentral:rRNA from 1 species